AUUUGCUUUUUGACCAUCGCAUCCUUGCAACUGCAACUUUGUUCUCAAUCGGUGCUUUGUGGUGGUCAACAAGGAAGUUUGACAUCCAUCCGGCAGUUCGAUCUUUGAUUGGAAGUGCUGUUGGCAUGGCUGGCCUUCAGGUCACUCUGGGGAUAUCUACACUGCUGUCCUAUGUGCCUGUGGAGCUUGGCACAGCGCAUCAAGCCGGGGCUUUGACUCUCUUGACACUAAUGAUCCUUCUCAAUCAUACCUUGCGUAGGCCAUCGGCGUCCCUUCUCAAAUCACUACCUCAAGUUGCAAAGACAAUCUAGAUGACUUUGCAGUUCAAUUUUGUAACGAUUGGACGUUUUAAUUGGGUCAAACAUUAUUUCUUCGGUUCUUGUGUUAUACGUAUAUCACCCGCUUUCAAGCUGGGGAUUGUUUUGCAAA